GGAGCAAUCUGCACUUUUAAUCGCACCUUGAACUGCUCGAUGACUGCGCCCCGACAGGGGGUACGUGUCGGACGGUGAUAGUGCCGCUCUAUGACUCAACCUAUAUCCGGUGUUGCGUUUUCCAAGCAUCACGUUCCGCGGGGUCGCUGGGGGGGGGGAGAAAGAACGAGGCACCGAGGAAAGCGCUGAUAAGGCGCUGAGCUGGUGGUGUAGAGGGUCAGUGCGGUGGAGAGAUAGGGCGGCUAUACGGCGAAAAGGAAGCCGAGCGUGACCACUUUUCUUACUCUUUCACUCAUCCGCCUUUCCCCUAACCCUCCGGUCAUCCUCAAUAUGGUCUUGUUAUCUCACGCAGCACUGAUGUCCGCCGCGUGUGUGGCUCGUGUGUGUAUCCGCGCGCCUAUUUGUGUAUGAAUGCGUGCAAACCGGCCUUCCCUUUUAUCAUCCCUGUGUGCAAUUCCCCUAAACAUCAUUUCAGCCACAAUUUAGGGUCUGCAACAGCGAGCCGAGCCGCCUUUUCAGCAGGAACAAAAAAAGCGAGGAUGAGACGAGGUAAAGCCCCUGCAUCGAUUUUAUACCCACUCCUCGGCUGCAGCUGUCCUUGAAUAUAAAUGACGCCGUUUCAACCCACUCCUCUCUGCAGGGCUCCCAGAAUUCUUUAUGGCUAUCACAGAGAGGAUCUCCCUCAUUUUCCAAGCUUGCCCAAACCUGCUCCUAACCAGGAGGAUAGACUUCGACAUCUGCCUCAUCACCGAGACUCAUUUUGACGCCCAAGAGGGAGGCAAACUAAGAGAGAGAAUUUGAUCUCCACCCGUCUCUAGGAGCGAGUCCUCUAAUCUUUCCCCCGCCAAUCCAACGGGGCAGGGACACUUACUGUACAUCUCACUCAUCUCCAGUGGCGGCUUUGAUUCUCUCGCUCCUCUCUGCUGAUUUCGCAUAAUCACACGGUAAUGAGGUUGGCUGCGGUGCGCCGGCGUGGCCCCGGUGCGCGGCUAGCUUGUGCUUACAUGUUAAAGGGGUGCACGGUUUUAGUUAAGAGGGAAAGAGGAGGAGUAGGAGCUGGAAAGAGGAGGAAAAGAGGGUCUAGGAGCCCCCUACUUUGAGUGCACAUUCGUUGGAAACACAAUUACACAGGCGCACAGAGGCAUACCGGCUUCACAAUGAUUUCUCCAUUCUCCAGCCGGUGGAGCGGCUAAUUUCCUUAGCAGCUAAGUACUUAUAGAUUGCUCAGUAACAGAAGCUCGCGACAAAAGAGCCGAGCUCAACGGACGAGGGCAAUGUAUCGCAUGAUUGUUUCCACCUCAUAUCUGCCAUAAAGUGGAGCUUGUUCUCGUACAGGAGCCACAUUACCAAGUUACACACUCGGUGGGUAAACAACCUGGCUGGGGGCUUGAUUUUCUAAAGAAAAGGUGUGUUUUCUCUGCUACCUGAGCAGAAUACAGGCGGAGGGAGUGAUGACAGCAGCGUCCUAAGAGAACAUGUAAAGGGAUUGUGUUUUGCAUUAACAAUGAGAGGACUGGUUACAGCUCAAAAGUCAGUGAGGAAACUAUCUGGUUUUACUUCAUCUUCCAAAAAGAACCCAAACAACAACAAAAGUGAAACAACAAACGCAAUAAAAACCCAAACUUGUCAGAGCUAAAUAACAAAAGGAACGAAACAGGAAGAGACCCAAAUAAAGUUAGAAACUAAAACUAAACUAAAAUGACGAUUAAGUUAGAACCCAAACAGCAAAUUAACUCAUUUAAAGAAAGAGAACCCUGCAGAAUCUUAACCCAAAGUACAAUCAGAACCAAAACAACAAAAAUACUGGAACCAGAAGGGUUUGAACCCAACCAGAAAAAAGGGUAGAACCCAAUAAAUAAACGGAUUAAAAUCCAAAGAAAAUGAGAACCCAAACAACAAAAACCCAAUCAGCAUAAGAACCAAAACAUUUUGGGGACUAAAACAACAUCAGAACUCCAAACAUCUUGAGAACCAAACCAACAAAAAUACUGGAACAAAAAAAGUGUGAAACCAACUGUAAAACCAGAAAAAAGCAGAAUCUUAUACAUUAAAAAAAUCCAAACAACAUCAAAACCCAAACUACAAAAACCCAAACAACACCAGAACACCAAAAUCAUAAGAACCCAAACAACAAAAACCUAAUUAGCAUCAGAACCCAAACAUCAUGAGAACCCAAACAACAUCUGAACCAAAACAACAUCUGAACCCAAGCAACAUCAGAACCUUAAUAACAUCCGAACCCCCGAAAUUAUAAGAACCCAAACAACAUCUGAACCCAAAAAGCAUCUGAAACCAAACAUCAUAAGAACCUAAACAACAUCAGAACCCCAAAAUUACAAGAACCCAAACAACAAAGACCUAUUAAGCAUCAGAACCUUAACAUCAUAAGAACCUUAACAGCACAAGAACCCCAACAACAAAAACCUAAUAAGCCCAAAAACUCAAACAACAAAAACCCAAACACCAUCUGAGCCUUAACACCAUCAGAACCCCCAACUCAUAAGAACCAAAACAACAAGAAAUCCAGCUCUGCACAAAUCCUCAAACCUCACACCAACCCUGCUGUUAAGGAACCUCAAACCCACACAGCAACAGAACCCGACACCAACAAAGACCAUAACGCCAAAAUAAAGACUGCAAAGUCAGAACCCAAACAACACAAGAUUUACAUAAACACGAUUUCCCAUGUUUAUCACAAUAAAGGAGCAUGUCACCAUUUUUUGACAAACAUUACAAUAUCAGUCUAGUCUUUUCUGAGUUACACAUCUAUGACACUCACAUCUAUGUUAAAUAAAUCUGAAAAUACAACUGUUAUUGUUUCAUAAUACGUCCCCAGGUAUCGCCUAAACAAGUAUUACCUUAACACCAGCAUUUAUUAAGUCAGUGUCUCGUUUUCCAGACGACGGCUCUCUUAUUUCAUUAACUUCACUUCAGAUCAGUAAGAAUAGCGACAUCGGAGUCUGUGGAGCAGCUCUGUGGUUUUUGUGUGCAUCUCCCGUAACAUCACAAGUGCCAGGCGUCCCGCUGAGAGUGGACACGAGGUGACGGACCGCUGCGAGCUACUGUCAAACUCCGCGGGGGGUGUCGUUUACCCAUCAUGCAGUGUUGUGGAAAGCGAGGCAUCACCAGUCGUGUCAUUAACCCUUUACAUGUGGCUGCGUCUCAGCGAGAAGAUAUCGAGCUGAAUACAUUUUCUCUCCUCCAAAGAAGCCGCAGCUGUCAAUUAGCUUUAAUGGUUUAUGGCAUUUUCAGUUUGUUAGUUUCUUCUCCUGUUGAUACAAAGGAGGUGGCGGUGAACGUUUCAUUUAACAAGACCGGAUCAGAACCAUUUCUGGGCCGUGUAUCAGGAACAAGAUUCAUGUGGUCGUAUUAAUGUAAUUCUAAGUCAAAUUUUAGGAACUGUACAGUGGAAAAAAUCUUUUUAAACUGCCAGUUUUAACGCAUAUGUACUAAAAACUGAAAAAAUUUGAGAUUAGUUCAACAUUUUAUUAUCAUACAAAGUAAAUAACAAAGCAAAUUGUUAUUUACUAUAUACAUAAAUACUAAAUAAUACAGUGAACUAGUUUAUAUUCCUGAGUGUUUUACAGGUAUGCAAGACCCAAAAUAAACAAAUCGCCCCCUCAGAGAUGAUGAAGAUGCCUUAAAAUCUAAACAUGAGAUGAUUUAAACGUAGAUGAUAGGAUUGAUUGCUUUGGUCUGCUGGCUGCACCGCUAGUUGAAGUUAAACUCAGGCUGUGCAGACUCCGCUCACAUUUUCAUGAUUUCCGCAUAAUCACUCGGGAAGUUCUUCUUUAAAUAAUUAAACAGAUUUGUUGUGUUGCCGUUUUUUGAGGGCACCAACUGCUGACAUACCUUACACAUCGGCUUUAAUGCUCGGUGUCACUUUGGAGAUACCCGAACCACCGGCCAGAGGCUGACAUCUUUUUUUGCUGCUUCAGCUCCGCGUUUAGCUCCACAUUCGGACAUUCUGUUUACUUCUCUGGCAACUUUAGCGGGGUACACACAUAAAGAUAAUCGGGCUGUUUUUGUCCCGAUUUUUUCCCUCCCGACCAAGGACUACAAUCGGAAGAUUAUCUUAUGUCUUCUAAGAUUAUCCUAUAAGAUUAUCCUCUGGUCUGAGGUGUAUUAAGAUUGAAUUUGUCCCGAUAAUUGGGUCCAAAACGGGUCGGAGCCAACAAUUGUAAAUAUUAAACUUGUUCAAUAUUUACAACCAAAAAUCUUCACGUGUGGGAGAAGCCGACGACUCCCGAGUUAUGACUCUGUGAAUUGUCACGUGAAACGGAUUGCAACCAAUCAAGAAGCGAGCUGACUGAGUAACAAGGAACCAAAUAAAGCGAUCAUCACAUAAUAUAAUAUAAUAAUAAUAAUCACAGCAGCAAUUAGCUUAAUUUGAGAACAACUCACCUUAGUUCGCUUAGUAGACUUUAAAGUCCACGUUCACGCUGUCCUCAGGAUUUUUCCACGGUCUUUUCUUUUUUUCUGUCAAAAAUACUCCCAAAACCACCAUCAUUCCCUCCUCUUGUGUGUCCUCUUCCAUGUUGCGUCUUGUGUUUCCCGGUUGUGGGGUCUGUAACAGAUAAAAAAUCUCCUAAGAUUUAAAAAAUCCUUAUGUGUGUACCCCGCUUUAGACAGCUCCUUGGUCUUGGUAGAGAAGUUGGAGUCUGAUUGACUGACUGAGAGUGUGAACAGGUGUCUUUAAUACAGCUAACGAGUUCAAACAGGUGCUGCUGAUACAGGUAACGAGUUCAAACAGGUGCAGCUGAUCCAGGUAACGAAUGGAGAGUUGGAGGGCCUUCUAAUGACAACCUAACAGAUUUGUGAGAGCUAAAAUUCUGAAAGGUUGGGAGGUGAUCGAAUAUUAAUUUACUGCAAUAAAAUGCAAAUUAAUAAUUUAAAAAUCAAACAUGGAUUUUUCUAGAUUCCUUCUUUUUUUGUUUAUUUUUAUACAAUACUCAUUUACCCCAACGUAGAUAUACGAUGCCCCUCAUACGACACACACAUACAUACAUACAGUCCAACCUAACCCACUGACCUGCUUUCUCUUUAAAGCAGAUGCCCAUGAUGUCCUCUGUUCCUUCUUCUCCACACACACACACUCACACACACUCAGAUGAGGGGGUGAAGAGCGGAGAGGUCUUGUGGGUGCUCAUCACAUGCACUUGACAGAAGCAGCGCUCUUGGCAAGAAGGAGCUACAUGAUAUAUGAAGAUGGCCACUUUGAGCCCACCAUCACACACACACACUCACACACACACUCACACACACACACUGCUCAUCAGCCCCCUGCCCUCGAACCAGCUCUUGAGACGCUGAUGGUGACAUAUAUGGAACACAUACAGACUCAAGCCUCUUAAAUAUUCAUCACUCGUCUGUGUACAUCGCGGUUUGCAUCACAGACAGUAUGUGUGCGUGUGCAUGUGCAUGUGUGUUUGUGCGUCCAUACAUUUGCAGACAGAUGUCAGUCUGGGCUUGUGGGACUGACUGCGGAUCAGUACAGGACUGUGUGCUUCUGAGCAGCUGUUUAUCUCUAUUGUCCCACAUUUCAACUGUGCAUUGAAACAAACAUCACUCCUACGGAAAUCUGAUUUUUAGCAAACUCUGGAUUUUUACGCUGACAGCUUGUUUGAACACGUUCGAGAAAUGUUGAUAUUAGAUGGAGAAUAACAGGAGGAUGUAAAAAAGACAGAUUGUUACACCAGUUUAAGUAUUUAGAGCCGUCUGAGGUGCUUUUUGCAUGAUUUAUAUCCACCACACAUACUCACUCAAUGCAGAUAUGCAAUAUUGAAGCGACAUUUUUACUUAUGUGACACUUCUUAGUCGAACUGACGACAUAUUUUUAUUAUUGGGAGUUAGAAUAACAGAAAAAGCAAAGUAAUGCAUCGUCUACAAGAGCAGCCCUGUAGGAGAAAGUCUUUUUUUAAAACCUCAAAAAAGUUGUUUGUGAUACUUUUAAUUUGAAAUUACUUUCAAUGUAUGAAUUAAGUAUAAUAAAUUUUAAAAAUAAUAAUAAUAAAAUAAAUAAAUGAAAUAACGAUAUUAAAAUAAACAAAAUAAAACAAAUAAAUGGAAUAACUAUAUUAAAAAAACAAAAUCAAAUAAAUAAUAAUAAUAAUAAUAAUCAUAAAAUAGAUAAAUGACAUAACUAUAUUAAAAUAAACAAAAUCAAAUAAAUAAUAAUAAUAAUGAUAAUAAUAAUAAUAAUAAUAGUAGUAAAAUAAACAAAAUUAAAUUGAUAAUAAUAAUAAUAAUAAUAAUAAAUAUAAAUAAAUAAACAAAUAAAUAAAAAAUAAUAAUAAUAAAAUAAAUACAGAAAACAAUAUUAAAAUAAACUAAAUAAAAUUGAUAAUAAUAAUUAUAAUAAAGAAGAAUAAAUAAAUAAAGUAUAUUAAUAAAUUAAUAUGUCAAUAAAAAUAUCUAUCAAUAAAGUUAUUCUUAUCUUUAUUCUUGCAAAAAUGAACUUUACUUUUUUGAAAAUAUGCUUGUUUAUUUUGAAAUGAUGUCUAUUCAACUUCCUGUAGUGAUAACAACUGACUUUAACCUUGUAAAAAACUGCAAGAAGAAACAAAGAAAAUGAGAAAAACCAUAAACGGGUUUCUUAAAGAGGAACAAUCGCCAUACAUUCAAGCUAAUGUGCUUUCUAAGUCCUUAGAUUACCCACGAGUGGCCUUUAUGGUCCUAUAUCCGCUCUGUUUUCAGCCCUCUUGAGAACACGCUAUAUGCUGUAGUGGCGAACUCGCCGCCAUCACAGUGACCCAUCGCUGUUUGGAGGGUAUCCCACAGGCUUGGAGUAAUUUAACACGUUUUUUCGACCCAAAGAGACCACAACAAAACAGCUGAUGACUUUGGAUAUUAAAGCCCUGACGAUAACUCGCGCUCUUCUCAAAAUGACCUUUGGGUCUGUCCGGGGUCUUUACGAGACGCCGUUUUAAUGAAAGCCCUCGCCACACGGUCUAUCUCCGAGCUGUAAUGUAUAGUCGAGUGUCGGGGCCUAUUUGCCGUCAUAACACUUGAAUCUAAUCAGAGGAUAGGCCACUUUUUAGAGUGUUUGGAGAAACCACUUGUGCCCACAGGCAAUCAACACCUCAUCAGAGGCCCCCCUCUCGUGUGGAGAGAAGGGGGCACGAGGCCUGGCGGUGAAGAGCACAAUUUUACCUCCUUGUCUUUUUCACCUCUUUCUUCUCUCGCUGUACCCUUUGUUGUGCUCCUCAUCCCUCCAGUGCAGAUUCCUCGCUCCUUUUCUGAGUCUUUUCCUUUUCUCUCGCAGAUUCACGCCAACAAAGCUGGAAAUCGCCGCUCUACUUUAUGUUUUCCAAGACUAGACGUAGUCCUGGUAUUUGGAUGCGACCCUGCAGGAACAGGAAGCCUGAUUGAGAGACUCUUGAUGCAGUCCCAGCUCCACAGUUGUGGGAUGAACACUUAGCCGAGCUCUACUGGGAGAGAGAAAACACUGAACAAGCCGGGCUCAGACUCCACGCCUGCACCGGGAAUUAUCUAAGCGUUCCCCCCAUUGUCACUGAGCGCCAGCGAGUAUCUCCACCCCGCCACAUUGAUCUGCUUCUGAG